UCUUCCACUGGAUGGUUUUAGCUCCC
rnacentral:piRNA from 1 species